UACGUAGGGUGCGAGCGUUGUCCGGAAUUACUGGGCGUAAAGAGCUCGUAGGUGGUUUGUCGCGUUGUUCGUGAAAUCUCACGGCUUAACUGUGAGCGUGCGAGCGAUACGGGCAGACUAGAGUACUGCAGGGGAGACUGGAAUUCCUGGUGUAGCGGUGGAAUGCGCAGAUAUCAGGAGGAACACCGGUGGCGAAGGCGGGUCUCUGGGCAGUAACUGACGCUGAGGAGCGAAAGCGUGGGGAGCGAACAGG
rnacentral:rRNA from 1 species